rnacentral:lncRNA from 1 species
ACCGGACCGGUUCCGGCGGUUCUAUACGGUUCCAAACGGUUCCGCCAAUGGUUCAACCAUGAGUAAACACAGUCACCGGAGGUAUAUUGUACUACGAUCCUAAUAAGGUUCGUGAAGAAUUAGCUAAAAUGAUUAAUGUUAUGUGUUUACCUUAUUCUUUUGCUUCUAAUCCUGCUUGGAUUCAAUAUAUUAGACGAGUAUUUAAUCCUACUUAUAAAGGUUGGCCUCGCGCCACAGUUAAGGCCGACAUUUAUAAAUAUAAGCAUGAAUAUGAACAAUACUUGCACCGGAACCGGACCGGUUCCGGCGGUUCUAUACGGUUCCAAACGGUUCCG